UACGUAGGGUGCGAGCGUUAAUCGGAAUUACUGGGCGUAAAGCGUGCGCAGGCGGUUUUGUAAGCCAGGUGUGAAAUCCCCGGGCUCAACCUGGGAAUGGCAUUUGGGACUGCAAGGCUGGAGUGCGGCAGAGGAGACUGGAAUUCCUGGUGUAGCAGUGAAAUGCGUAGAUAUCAGGAGGAACACCGAUGGCGAAGGCAGGUCUCUGGGCUGACACUGACGCUCAUGCACGAAAGCGUGGGGAUCAAACAGG
rnacentral:rRNA from 1 species